AAAGUCGUAACAAGGUAUCCGUAGGUGAACCUGCGGAUGGAUCAUUCAAGUGAGGAUCUAUUCUUUGAUCCGCUUGUCAUGUGCAAUGUUUACCAUGUUUACUGUUUGUUGUGGUUACUUUUACAGUGACCACAACGCAGUUUGUUUUUCUAUACACACAUUUUAUACAAUUUACUACUGAUAAUUAUACAAGAACCUUGAAAACUGCCAGCAAUGGAUCCCUCGGUUCUC
rnacentral:misc_RNA from 1 species